rnacentral:rRNA from 1 species
UACAGAGGUCUCAAGCGUUGUUCGGAUUCAUUGGGCGUAAAGGGUGUGUAGGUGGCGCCGUAAGUCGGGUGUGAAAUUUCGGAGCUUAACUCCGAAACUGCAUUCGAUACUGGCGUGCUUGAGGACUGGAGAGGAGACUGGAAUUCAUGGUGUAGCAGUGAAAUGCGUAGAGAUCAUGAGGAAGACCAGUGGCGAAGGCGGGUCUCUGGACGGUUCCUGACACUGAGACACGAAGGCCAGGGGAGUAAACGGG